ensembl:lncRNA
AUGCCAGGCAAGCUGUAGGCCUUCUGCUUGGUGCCCGGGGACUGCUGCUUUGGGCCUUGUGGAACAGCAACUUUGUUGCCCUUGUACCAGACCCAUAGGGGGCAUUGGGAAGAGCCAAGCAAGCAGGACCAGUAUGAGGUUUGGCUCUUGGUUUUCUCUGUAUGCUGCUCCUCAGGAAGGACCUGGUUUGUCUUCGUGUCCUUGGUCCCGAUGGGGCAGGAUGUCAGGCCAAACAAGCAGCGCCAGGUGGAGGUCUGGCUCUUGGUUUCCUCCGUACGCUGCUCCUCAGGAAGGGCCUGGUUGUCCUUCCUGUCCUCGAUCGUGGUGGGGAAGGAGGUUAGGCCAAACCAGGAGUGCCGGCUGGAGGUCUGGCUCUUGGUCUCCUCCAUGGCCUGCUCCUCAGGAAGGGCCUUGUUCUUGUUCUUCUCCUCAG